GACAAUCCACUCUAAUAAGAAAUUCCUGGUUUAACAAAUCACUUUCAAAUUUAGUAACACAAUGAAUUAUUGCCAGUAUUUCUUUUUUAAUGGUUGAGUAAUUUUGUUGUGCCGAUUUCCAUACACCUGAGGUUGUUGGAUUCGCUAUAGUUAGGCAUGGCAAUUCUUUAGCUUUAGUUUUGAUUUUUAUAACAGCAGUUGUAUGCUCACUGCUCCAAUUAGCAGGGUUUUUCCGUAAUCUUGCAUAUAGAGAUACCACUAAUCCGGCC